rnacentral:lncRNA from 1 species
AUGAAGAAUUCAAUAUCUCCAAAACUCAUGCUAUCUCUCCUAGAAAUUGCUUUCUGUCUAAUUGUAUUUCUUCCUAUAAGCCAUUGCAAGGUUUCUUAUUUUCCAAUGGGUGCCAAUCUCAUCGACCUAACAUGCAAAAAAACACCAUACUACGAUCUUUGUGUCAUCUCUCUAAACUCAGAUCCCCGAAGCUACACCGCCGAUGUGGCCGGCUUAGGCGUCGUAAUGGCGGAUGUUGUUAAGGCUAAGGCAACGGACAGCCUGAACAAAAUCAAUGAGCUACUUACGCAGAGCCCAGGAGACCGAUCGUUGACCACCUGCGUUGACUAUUACAAGACAGUUAUAGAAGGUGAUGUUCCCCUAGCUAAUGAAGCCUUUGCUGCAGGUAACGCUAAGCUUGCUGACCAAGGCAUGAGUGACGCUGGCAUCGUGAUUGACUUAUGUGAAAGCCAAUUUUCUGAAGGGAGCUCUCCUGUGACAGAUAAGAACAAAGCUGCUCAUGAUGUUGCGGCUGUGGGUGCAGCAAUUGCGAGGACAAUGCUUUGA